AUUCUACCCAAAACUAAAUAAUAGCAAUAAUUCUUUAAAAAAAGCUUUUAAGGUUAAAUAAACACUAAAUAAACAGUUGUGUUGGUAAGAUUGACAAAAAAAUCUAGAUCAGCUCGGCACGCAUGGUUAAGUCAUAGAUAUGAUUUAGAGCCCACUGUGAACGAGCAUGAGUAAUGGCUUUUAUAAAAGGCUUGAACCAUGACCUAACUUUAAUUUAUAAAUUAAAAAAAAAAGGAAAACAACCAAAAAAAAAAAAAGAUGAGUCUCCACUUGAAGCUAGAAGAUAAAGCAAAUGACGGGAAUAUGGUUGCCCAGUUAGGUCAAGGACGGGAUGCAACGAGUGGUGUUGGUGCUGCAAUUGAUAGGCUUGAAGAACACUUGAGUAAAAGAUGAGUCUUAUCUUUGCUGGAUCAUAACAAUUGCAUAUUUGCUAGAAAGAUAGAGGCCGAGGAGUUGCCUAAAACAGAAUUUGAUGCACUUAUUAAUCAUCUACUCUUUUAUUGUAGUAGCCUAUCUACUUAUUUUAUGAGGUUCUGACUUAAUAGCUUUCACUAAUUUUUUCUCCCUUUUGAGUUUCUUACAUGUAAGAAUUUUAUUUGAUUUAAUGGCAAAAAAACUGAGUAUUUUACUUUAUUCAUUUUUUUUUACUUUAUUAAAAAGUUAAUGGAGGUCUAAGCUUAGCCCAAACCUAUUUAGACCAGGCCAAUUCACACUUGAAUGGGCUUUUAAAAGACCUUGACUUUUUAACAAUAAUAUGAGUUUGGGCUGGACUUUUCCCACAAAUAGCCAAUUUAUGUGUUGGUAGGCGACAAAAAUGAGUUAUCGCAUAAUGUUAAAUUUAGAUGGACUCGAACAUAAAUAAUUUAAUAAUUAUGUUAAAAAGUUAAAACCUAAAUUUGCAUUGGUAAUUUAAUAAUAUGAUAAUCUUGUCACAUAAUACAAAAACACCAUUAAUCCUCUCAAUACACAUUUAAUACAGUUUACAUAAUAUAUCAUCUACACAUUAACACAAAGUGCACUCAUGUAUAUAUCUAAACAAUAUUGAGAUAUAAUAUACAUACAUUACCAGAGAUGCAAUACAUUCAUACUUAAACAAUAUCUAUCGUUUGGUCCCACUUUUGAAAUUUAUUUAGUUUGUAUCUCAAAUUAUGCAUCAACAAUUAUUACUUGCUAUAUACAAUGUAUUGGUUGACUUUAUUAUCUAUAUAAUAAUAUGGUAAUUUACAUUAUCUAUCAGUGAAUGACAUGUUAGAUGUCAUACCAUUAGAUGUGUAGACUAAUUGUCCUAACCAUGUAAGUAUAGCAUUACUUAUUUAUCAUCUAUCGGUGAAUGACAUACUAAAUGUCAUCUCAUUUACUAAAUGUAAGUAUAGCAUUACUUAUUUAUCAUCAUUUAUCAAUGAUGUGCAAACUAAGUGUCCUCCUUUCCUUUCUCUUAGUCUAUUUUCUCUUCCUCUUCUUUCUCCUCCUUUGUUCUUUCUUGCAACCCAACAUGGCUUAGUGGUGUUCGGUGGAAGGAGGAGAGGAUAUUAUUUUGAAUUCCUUUCUUGUUUCUGAUGUUUGGUUGUCUAUAAUUUAUAUGAAUUUAAUUUCCAUUAAAAUUUAGAUUACAAACUAAAGAGUGAUGAAUUCAAAAUCCUCUUCUAUUGGAAGCUAAAAAAUCUAAAAUUAUCUCUUUAAUCGUUUAUUAACUUGAUUAAUGCUAUCAAAUAAUUCUUAUUUACAAUUUGAUUUUAUCAAUUUAAUUUUACAGAUAAUUAAUUUUAUAUUAACAAAAGUUAAAGAAAUGAUUUAAACAAUUUAAGAAAAUUAUUUAUUUAUUUAUUUUACUAAAAAUAGAAAAUAUAAAUUUAAGUCAUUAAAAAGUUGUCAUUGUCGCCACUGGUGCAUGGGAUGUCAAUGCCAGUACCGUUGGACUUACUAACUGACGAACUAUGUCAUUAUAUAGAAGUGAAAAAAAUGGAUUUAUUUUCUUCAAAUCCAGUUUAAAAACUUUCUAACUCUCCUAGAUCCAGACAAAUAUCAAGUAUUUCAGCCAAAUAAAUUUCUUCAAUCUAUAGAUCGUCAAUAUCCAAUAAUUUUCAUAUGAUUCUUGAGUUGAAAUGACAUGGUACAGUGGUGGUCAGCCGCGACAACUUUGCUUUUUUUUUUUUCAAAUAAAAUUUUAAAAUUA
rnacentral:lncRNA from 1 species